UUUCUCUCUCUUUUAUCUCUUUUUCUGGCACUUGGCCUGGCUUACUGGACCAUAGCACCUGCAUCUCUCCCCACCACAGCCAAAAAGGAAGUGAUUCUAGAAGAGCAGCAUUGGGAGGGGCCUUUCUACUGCCUGGUCCCAGUCUUAAGGGCUUCUCUCAUCCAAAUCUCUCCAGAACUGUGACCCAGAAGAAAGUUCACUCUCCAGCUAGGAGCAUGGGGGGACCCUUUUUCUUGCUUUUGCUUUCCCUUCUUCCUGCUCGUCUGUCCAGUGCCCAUUUGGAGCAGGAAGUCUCUGUUGUGGGCAUUCAGGGCGGUUCUGUCACCCUCACCUGUCAAAUCUCUGGUACUACUUCCACCAUAGUGCACUGGUACCGGCUCCAGGACGGGAAGCCCCCAGAACGCUUUAUUUACUUUAGUUUAACAUCAGACAUAGUCAGGUAUGAUAAGGGCUUUAAUAAUAACAAAUUCCAGGCCCUUAAGGAUGAGUUUAAUGCUAGGAAGAACAUUUUACACAUCAAGAAUCUGGAUGUGAGCGACACUGCCAUGUAUUACUGUGCUGUCUGGGACAACCACAGUGCUUCAGGAUUUGGCCAUGCAGCCAUAGAAGUGAAGCAGCCUCAAGUCUCCAUCAGCAGCCAGGUGGGAACAACAGCACGGGUCACAUGUCAAGUGGCUGGCAUGCGGGACUUUGCUGGUUGGUACAUACACUGGUACCAACAGAAGCCAAACCAGGUUCGGAACACCUGCUCUUUGUGCAAGUAA